rnacentral:rRNA from 1 species
UACGGAGGGAGCUAGCGUUGUUCGGAAUUACUGGGCGUAAAGCGCACGUAGGCGGCUUUGUAAGUUAGAGGUGAAAGCCUGGAGCUCAACUCCAGAAUUGCCUUUAAGACUGCAUCGCUUGAACGUCGGAGAGGUAAGUGGAAUUCCGAGUGUAGAGGUGAAAUUCGUAGAUAUUCGGAAGAACACCAGUGGCGAAGGCGACUUACUGGACGACUGUUGACGCUGAGGUGCGAAAGCGUGGGGAGCAAACAGG